rnacentral:rRNA from 1 species
UACGGAGGGUGCAAGCGUUGUCCGGAUUUAUUGGGUUUAAAGGGUGCGUAGGCGGCCCUCUAAGUCAGUGGUGAAAUACUGCAGCUUAACUGUAGCAUUGCCAUUGAUACGUGGAUGGCUUGAGUGUGGGAGAGGGAUGCGGAAUUCCAGGUGUAGCGGUGAAAUGCGUAGAUAUCUGGAGGAACACCGGGUGGCGAAGGCGGCAUCCUGGACCAUU